rnacentral:tRNA from 1 species
CGGAGCAUAGCUCAGUCGGUUUAGAGCGCACGCUUCACACGCGUGAGGUCGUAGGUUCGAAUCCUACUGUUCCGACCA